rnacentral:rRNA from 1 species
UGGGGAAUAUUGGACAAUGGGCGAAAGCCUGAUCCAGCGACGCCGCGUGGGUGAAGAAGGCCUGCGGGUUGUAAAGCCCUUUCAGUGGGGAAGAAAAGCCUCGUUCUAACACAACGGGGUCUUGACGUAACCCAUAAAAGAAGCACCGGCUAACUCUGUGCCAGCAGCCGCGGUAAUACAGAGGGUGCGAGCGUUAAUCGGAAUUACUGGGCGUAAAGCGCGCGUAGGCGGCUUCGCAAGUCGGAUGUGAAAUCCCCAGGCUUAACCUGGGAACUGCAUUCGAGACUGCAUUGCUAGAGUAUGGGAGAGGGAAGUGGAAUUUCCGGUGUAGCGGUGAAAUGCGUAGAUAUAGGAAGGAACACCAGUGGCGAAGGCGAGUUGCUAGGCUGACACUGACGCUGAGGUACGAAAGCUAGGGGAGCGAACGGGAUUAGAUACCCAUGUAGUCCCUGAGCGGGCUGGCAAGGCGCAU